rnacentral:rRNA from 1 species
CCUACGGGUGGCAGCAGUAGGGAAUAUUGCUCAAUGGGGGGAACCCUGAUGCAGCAAUGCCGCGUGGGUGAAGAAGCCCUUCGGUGCGUAAACCUCUGUCAGCAGGGACGAAAAUGACAGUACCUGGACAAGAAGCCCCGGCUAACUACGUGCAAGCAGCCGCGGUAAUACGUAGGGGGCAAGCGUUAUCCGGCUUUACUGGGUGUAAAGGGGGCGCAGGCGGCGUGGUAAGUCAGAUGUGAAAACCCGGGGCCCAACCCCGGGAGUGCAUGUGAAACUGUCAUGCUGGAGUGCCGGAGAGGGAAGCGGAAUUCAUAGUGUAGCGGUGAAAUGCGUAGAUAUUAGGAAGAACACCAGGGGCGGAGGCGGCUUACUGGACGGUAACUGACGCUGAGGCUCGAAAGCGUGGGGAGCAAACAGGAUUAGAUACCCUUGUAGUC